UACGUAGGGGGCAAGCGUUGUCCGGAAUCAUUGGGCGUAAAGAGCGUGUAGGUGGCCCGGUCAGUCCGCCGUGAAAGUCCAGGGCUCAACCCUGGAAUGCCGGUGGAUACUGCCGGGCUGGAGUCCGGAAGAGGCGAGUGGAAUUCCUGGUGUAGCGGUGAAAUGCGCAGAUAUCAGGAAGAACACCCGUGGCGAAAGCGGCUCUCUGGGACGGUACUGACGCUGAGACGCGAAAGCGUGGGGAGCGAACAGG
rnacentral:rRNA from 1 species